rnacentral:rRNA from 1 species
GCAAGUCGAACGGUGAACCGGAGCUUGCUCUGUGGGAUCAGUGGCGAACGGGUGAGUAACACGUGAGCAACCUGCCCCUGACUCUGGGAUAAGCGCUGGAAACGGCGUCUAAUACUGGAUAUGUGACGUGACCGCAUGGUCUGCGUCUGGAAAGAAUUUCGGUUGGGGAUGGGCUCGCGGCCUAUCAGCUUGUUGGUGAGGUAAUGGCUCACCAAGGCGUCGACGGGUAGCCGGCCUGAGAGGGUGACCGGCCACACUGGGACUGAGACACGGCCCAGACUCCUACGGGAGGCAGCAGUGGGGAAUAUUGCACAAUGGGCGCAAGCCUGAUGCAGCAACGCCGCGUGAGGGACGACGGCCUUCGGGUUGUAAACCUCUUUUAGCAGGGAAGAAGCGAAAGUGACGGUACCUGCAGAAAAAGCGCCGGCUAACUACGUGCCAGCAGCCGCGGUAAUACGUAGGGCGCAAGCGUUAUCCGGAAUUAUUGGGCGUAAAGAGCUCGUAGGCGGUUUGUCGCGUCUGCUGUGAAAUCCGGAGGCUCAACCUCCGGCCUGCAGUGGGUACGGGCAGACUAGAGU